rnacentral:rRNA from 1 species
GACGAACGCUGGCGGCGUGCUUAACACAUGCAAGUCGAACGAUGAUGCCCAGCUUGCUGGGUGGAUUAGUGGCGAACGGGUGAGUAACACGUGAGUAACCUGCCCCUGACUCUGGGAUAAGCGUUGGAAACGACGUCUAAUACUGGAUAUGACUGCCGGCCGCAUGGUCUGGUGGUGGAAAGAUUUUUUGGUUGGGGAUGGACUCGCGGCCUAUCAGCUUGUUGGUGAGGUAAUGGCACACCAAGGCGACGACGGGUAGCCGGCCUGAGAGGGUGACCGGCCACACUGGGACUGAGACACGGCCCAGACUCCUACGGGAGGCAGCAGUGGGGAAUAUUGCACAAUGGGCGAAAGCCUGAUGCAGCAACGCCGCGUGAGGGAUGACGGCCUUCGGGUUGUAAACCUCUUUUAGUAGGGAAGAAGCGAAAGUGACGGUACCUGCAGAAAAAGCACCGGCUAACUACGUGCCAGCAGCCGCGGUAAUACGUAGGGUGCAAGCGUUGUCCGGAAUUAUUGGGCGUAAAGAGCUCGUAGGCGGUUUGUCGCGUCUGCUGUGAAAUCCCGAGGCUCAACCUCGGGCUUGCAGUGGGUACGGGCAGACUAGAGUGCGGUAGGGGAGAUUGGAAUUCCUGGUGUAGCGGUGGAAUGCGCAGAUAUCAGGAGGAACACCGAUGGCGAAGGCAGAUCUCUGGGCCGUAACUGACGCUGAGGAGCGAAAGCAUGGGGAGCGAACAGGAUUAGAUACCCUGGUAGUCCAUGCCGUAAACGUUGGGCGCUAGAUGUAGGGACCUUUCCACGGUUUCUGUGUCGUAGCUAACGCAUUAAGCGCCCCGCCUGGGGAGUACGGCCGCAAGGCUAAAACUCAAAGGAAUUGACGGGGGCCCGCACAAGCGGCGGAGCAUGCGGAUUAAUUCGAUGCAACGCGAAGAACCUUACCAAGGCUUGACAUACACCGGAAACGGCCAGAGAUGGUCGCCCCCUUGUGGUCGGUGUACAGGUGGUGCAUGGUUGUCGUCAGCUCGUGUCGUGAGAUGUUGGGUUAAGUCCCGCAACGAGCGCAACCCUCGUUCUAUGUUGCCAGCGCGUUAUGGCGGGGACUCAUAGGAGACUGCCGGGGUCAACUCGGAGGAAGGUGGGGAUGACGUCAAAUCAUCAUGCCCCUUAUGUCUUGGGCUUCACGCAUGCUGCAAUGGCCGGUACAAAGGGCUGCGAUACCGUAAGGUGGAGCGAAUCCCAAAAAGCCGGUCUCAGUUCGGAUUGAGGUCUGCAACUCGACCUCAUGAAGUCGGAGUCGCUAGUAAUCGCAGAUCAGCAACGCUGCGGUGAAUACGUUCCCGGGCCU